rnacentral:SRP_RNA from 1 species
GUACUAGGCGGGGAGCUAGUGGUGCCCUGUUGCCCACAAUCCACUACAGUGGGGCUGAAUGUGCAUUAGCGGGAUAGACUUGGUUGUGUUGAGUAGUCUUGUAGCAUAAUGAAAUCAAGGUCUUAUACAAUAUUGCCCUACGAAUCAUGUCAGGGUCGGAAGACAGCAGCAUUAAGAAGGAUACAGUAUGUGCUGUAAGGUAGCUUUGGUGGAGU